rnacentral:rRNA from 1 species
GAUGAACGCUAGCUACAGGCUUAACACAUGCAAGUCGAGGGGUAACAAGAGAAAAGCUUGCUUUUCUUGUUGACGACCGGCGCACGGGUGCGUAACGCGUAUCCAACCUGCCUAUAACUAGGGAAUAACCUUGCGAAAGUAAGACUAAUACCCUAUGAUUUCCUUUGAUGACAUCAGAUUAGGAAUAAAGAUUUAUCGGUUAUAGAUGGGGAUGCGUCUGAUUAGCUUGUUGGCGGGGUAACGGCCCACCAAGGCAACGAUCAGUAGGGGUUCUGAGAGGAAGGUCACCCACAUUGGACCUGAGACGCGAUCCAAACUCCUACGGGAGGCAGCAGUGAGGAAUGUUUGUCAAUGGGCGGAAGCCUGAACCAGCCAAGUAGCGUGAAGGAUGACGGCCCUAUUGGUUGUAAACUGCUUUUAUACAGGAAUAAAGUUAGCCACGUGUGGUUAUUUGUAGGUACUGUAUGAAUAAGGACCGGCUAAUUCCGUGCCAGCAGCCGCCGUAA